AUCACUUCACUCUCCUGAAGAAGCUUGCUGAAACCUUCCACCUGAGCUCAGACCCACAGACAAACUGAGACAUGGCCUCUCGAGUAGCUGCUCUGUUCCUGCUGGGUGUCGUCUGUGUCAUCUUUGUGACAGGUAUGAUACAUUCUUGCAUUGCAUCCGGGGUAAAACAGAUUCAUACUUCAGGAUGCUUUCAAUGCAGGUGAAUUUAAUGCACUUCUGUGUAUCUUACAGCUGAAGUUCCUGAGGACUGCUGCUUGAAGACUUCUGCAAAGCGCAUCCCAUUACAAAGAGUGCAAAGCUUCAAAAUCCAGAACGCCGGGGAAGGAUGCGACAUUGGAGCCACAUUGUGAGUAGAAACCAUUUGUAAAUGUUUAACAUUCAUUACUUAGCAGAAGUCCUCAAUUUCAUUGUAUUCUGCUUUGCUGGUUAAAUGUGGCCUGUUUUCUGCUGCCUCGUCUAACUUUUCCCCCUUAAUCUGCUUUUUCAGGUUCAUCCUAAAGAAUGAAAGGGUUCUGUGCUUCUCCCACCUUAGUGAGGAAGCAUGGGUGCGUAAUUACAUCAAGCAUCUGAGCAAGAACAGGAAAUGAAAUCAGGUAAAAUAGAAGAAAAAGUUUAUCUGCCCUUCAUUUGGGAUGAGCUUUAAAACCAUCCUUGCAUCUGUACCUCAGAGUUUUCAGACUUUUACCUUGCACUGGCUAACUCGAUGAUCUUGUCUUGCAGGUGUAGAGAGGAGAGGAUUCUGGGAGAGAGAGAGGAUGACCCAUCCUGGAAGAAAAGAGCAGUUCUCAUCUCUGAUGUUGCUGUAGAAAAGUUAAAUGUACAGCUGUGUGUGUAUGUGUGUGUUUCAUCAUAUGUGAUGACUCAUUGUAUGAUAUUCAACAACUUUGUUAAUUUCUUUAAAACAUCCCUGUGAGUAAAAUACCUUGUAGCGAUUGAGGUCUUGACAUGUGCUGUUUUGAAACGCUGCUCUUUUGUGUCUUUUUAGCGCUGAAUAUCAUAGUUUUGCGAAAUGAUGUUAAGCCAGCUGAUUAGUUCUUAAGUUUCAGUGCUGUUUGAGCCGUAUUUUGUUUGAAAUGUUGAAAUGAUUUGUGCCUUUAAAAUGUUGUUAAAAGAUUUUCUUAAAUAAAGUCAGGUAUUUUUUAUUAA